GUCGGACGCGUCACGAAUCUAUUUGCUGUUUGACCGCCCUCGCCCAUCCCGCACUUGCACGACCGCAUCCUCUCCCGAUCUCUUUCCUCUUCAUUUUCUUCCAGAGAGCUGUUCUCACUAGGGUCGGUCCCGGCUCCGGCCGCCGCCUCCGUCCCGGUUCCGGCCGCUGCCUCCGUUCCUGCUCCGGCUGCCUCCGUUCCUGCUCCGGCUGCCUCGGCCCAUCUCCUGAGGUUGCUCGCUGCUUGCUCUCCUUCUUCCACAGAGCACCUCGAGAUUUUGUCCGCCAUAGCCUCGCAUGGGUCCUUCGAUGAGCAUGUUCCCCAAAAAUAUGAGGCCUUCAGAUGAGAUGGUCUACCGCCCUCCCUGUGGACCUUCCUCGGGCUAGGGCGGCCGAGCAGAGGUAUGGCGGGCGGGAGCUGGAGGCCCUCCGGAAGGAGGGACACUGGGACGGCGGGCGCCCGCCCGCCGCCCGGAAUCCACCUGCGUUGAUGUGCCCGCACCUGCCGGCUGCCGCCAGUCCGCCCGUCUGCUUCGUCGUUAUCUUUACCGGAUCCGGCAGCCGGUGCGCACAUCUGUGCCGGAUUACGGCGCCGCCGCCACGGUCGAGGCUAGGUGGAGGAGCUUGGGGUGACUGCUUGAUUGUGGAGGAGGGGAACGGAGCACAAGCCGUCGCCGUUGUGGAGUAGUAGGAGGACGAAGCACGGGUGGAUGGAUGUCUAGGAUCUUGGCCUAAAAUGCUGGUCGAGACCCAGCACCACUGCCGCCUCCCUGGAUCUGUCCUGCAGCGCCGGAGCGGUAGUCUCCUCCUACCUCCGGCCUACUGUUCCGCCGGCGACGCUUUCCUCUGACACCCGACACAGCCCCUGAUCUGGGUGAGGUGGAUCUGGCCAUCCGCUCCUGCGAGGUCGAGUUCACAUGGCAAAGAGACGAGAUAUCCUUGGCACCGAUCCGUCUAUCCCUGCCGACCUUCAGGUUCGCAUCCAUACCCGUGCAUCCAUUAGGUUACUUGGUGACCGGAUUAAUUAUUAGCUGAAGGUGACAUCGCUGGUAAGAUGAGAACAGUACCUGACGCGUGUGUGCAUGCAUCAAUCUAUUUAGCUUCUUCUGUAGCUUCGAGUGCUUCCUUUGAUUCAGUAUAUUUAGGCAUGUACCUUCAACUGUUUUCUUCGUACUGCACAACAAUAAAAGCAGAAGCUUACUCCAACAUAUUUUGGAGCCUUUUAUUUUCAUUGAGUAGACAAUUUUGAGCAAAGCAACAGAUUCCCCAUGUCGAACAAGAUGUAAUAAUUGUUGCUUAUAAAGACAAAUUGCAGACUAUUCGUUCCAUUUUGUCGGAAGAGACUGUUCCAGUAAGAAGGGUAAAGAAGACAGGAUUAUAACGUGCUCAAGAAUAAAGAAUAACGUUCCACUCAGAACGAUUUGGGUAGAAACUUCCAUGUUGCUUGCAUCUACUUGGAGAUAUUUGAGAAAAAAACCGAAUUGCUAUGGUUUAUUAGCAUGCUACUAGGGAGUAAAGCUUACCUUGAAAACAUUUUCCGUUAUAUGUCUACCAUGUUUGCAAAAUCUUAAACAACUUCAGAGCAAUGGAUCCUCCAAUUCAGAGAAUAUUGAGAUGGAUAAAGGAGGGAAAAUAGAGACAACGUUACUGUCAACUAAUCCCUUGUGUUAUAUUCAAAUGUUGAGUCUGAACCUGCUCCCCAGGUGAGGCAUGGCCAAACCAUUGGCACUGGUCCAGAGGCUGUCAUAUGUCAAUAUAUAGGAUAUCUAAACAUGUAAAUGAAAUUUCAAAUGUGCCUGUAGAAGUUCAAUUGGUGGGCUCAUGCUUGUUAUUUCUUCUAUUCAAGUAAUUGCACAUAUAUUUAGUGCAAAACUAAUUACAUGUAUUUUUUGUUAUCAAGAAAGAUAAUAGCUUUCAGACUAUAUCUCUGCACACAGAACUAAGUUAUAGUUCCUGCUACUCGACAUAUUUACUGUGUACUCAACUCUUCGACCGAUAGGAUCCUGCAUAUUGGUUCUGAACUUCUAAUUUUAUAUUUUAGAAGUAGUAACUCUAAUCUUCAAUGCAAUAAAUCAUAAUACCUGUAAUGUGCAUGCUGUUGUUUCCAGAAACAAUUAUGAGUUAUACUAAUUCCAUAUUACGCAGCUACUGAAACAUUGUUCUCUGGUAAAUUUAUCUUUUCAUCUCCUCUUACACAGGUUGCGCUGCUGAUGUGCACCUAACUUAUUUAUGUGUUUAACUGUUUAUAUUGUAAAUCCUAAUGAUUUGUGUAUCCGUGGAUCCAUUACGAUCUCAGCCCCUCAAUCUUAAUUUUGCGAGUUAGCUUAGUCCGCAGUAAUUUUUCACUAGGACACCCGCCCCCAUACCAUAGCAGUAACUUUGUUCUUUAGAAAACCCCCUGGCCUCCAAACUGUACCGUUCCCUCAUUGGUCCCAACGUCGAUCGGCUGAUGUAAUCCAAGGCUAUAUCAAACUGCUUUGUCACCUAUGUCCCUGGCAAUUAAACACUGGUGCUAGAUCAGUUUAUACUCUGUUUCGGUGACGCCGAUGGCCAAAGACGAGCGACCAUCAAGUGGCACACCAGAAGUUUCAGGUGACACAUACAAAUAUUCAGUGUGUGUGAAAUCUGAAUUGAGUAGCAGUGUGUGCGGCUAGAUGAAUGCAAUCAACAAGUUGCAGAUGCAUAUGAAUGGGGCAUGUUUUAGUAGACCCCCAAAAAAGUAGUCCUCUGUUUCUAACUUUGAAAAUUUCAAGAGAGAAGAAGUUUAGGCCCUGCUACGUGUUGCCUAUUCUUUUCCUGUAUGACUAGACAAAUAUUAGUAUGUAUGCUUUUCAUUUAUUCAGUUGACUACUACUUUCCUUACAAAAUGAACUUAGUAGCCUUAGAUGAUAAUUAUGCUAUCUGAAAUUCAAGCUCCACCCCAGCUAUAGGAGAAGCCAUGCUUUUUUCUAUAACUUCUCUUUGCUGUCCUGAAACUCAGUUAACUUCCUGUAGUUAAAUUCAGCUGAGCAGCCUUUUCACAUGUUUACUUGCCUGAAUCAAAUAGCAUCUUACACUAUAGCAGUCUAAGACUAUCCGACUAAACAAACAUUCAUUUCGGUAUUGACAUCCAUUUUGUUAUACUUGCAUACCAAAAGCUGAUGAGAUUACUAAUUUGUAAAUUUAGUGUGCAGUUAUCAUCAACUGUGUUGAACAUGUAGACACCGCUGGACCAAAUAGUCAUACAGCUACCAAGCACACUAGGCAAGAGGGAUAUGAAGCAUUUAUUGGCUGAAAUAUUCCUACUAAAGUUCAUAUACCAUGAUCUAAUAUAGUGGGAAGAUGCAAAAGAACAAAGAGAGGAAAAGAGACCAAUGAGGAGGAUCGAAAUAGAAGGAGAAAGAAGUGAAGGUACUACAUGAAGAAUGAUUUUAUCCAUGUUAUGAUUUACACUUUGAUGUCAUGUAACGGAUGAGAAUUCGCUUAAUCCUAAUUAAUUCGACUUUGUGACAGUUUUGAUGUU